GGAGAGAUGGCUCAGUGGUUAAGAGCACUGGCUGCUCUUCCAGAGGACCUGGGUUCAAUCCCCAGCACCC
rnacentral:tRNA from 1 species